AGUCGUGUGGUGUUUUUUUUUUCAGGUGUCACGAUGUAAAAAGCCUCAGGCGACCUGGUGGAAAUUCCCAGGUGAAGUGCGCAUGCGCCGCUGCCCACUGGACUUUUUUUUUGUUCUCUCCAGUAGAUUUCUGUAUAUCAGUCAGUGUCGAGAGAUUCUUCUGGAGAUAACGUUAAUAUCUGAGCAGAGAUGGACGAAUCUGAGCCUCUGUCCGUCAGUCCGUGUAUAAACGGCAGGUUCAGAACAGCGUGCAGCAAGGUGGUGACUUUUAAACCCUCCAACACGCAGAGGAUCAUCCAGCUGAUGCACAGAGCGGCGCAGAAAAGCUACCUGAGAGCCUGCCAGCUCUUCUGCCUGCCUUUAGACUCUCUGACGUGUGAACAGGUCACAUGUUGCCCAGAUCCUUCAUCCGAGGAAGAAAAAAACACACAAGUGGCCAUCCAGAGUCCGCCUUCCACCAUAAUGAUUGUCAACAUCAGCAACUCCACCUUAAUCGACUGCGUCAUCGGGAACGGCGCCUACCUGUCCGUGGCCGAGCGGCAGCCUCUGAUGCAGAAUUCUGGACUCCACACGCACGGUGAACUGAGCAGCAAGCAGGAGGCGACGCAGGCCGCUUCUCCUCCUCCUCCUCCUCCUCCUCCUCCUCCUCCUCCUCCUCUUCCAUCAGCAGAGCAUCUGAGCAGCAUCAGCAUCCAAAGCUCUCACCUCACCUUUGUCAUCAUUGGAGACAACAACUCCAUGCAGGCGGAGCAGAGUCAGCCAAUGGACUGACAGAAGUGUGAUGGACAAAUCACAUGAAGCUGACUGACACACACUUCAGUUUACAAACACCACUCCAGUGUCUCAGUGCAAACACGCUGACGUCCGCUCCUCACAAUGUUUUUCCUACAAUAAUUCUCAUGAGCUGAAUUGUUUCCUGUUUUGCAACGCCGGGUCUUCUGCUGCCUGUGGGCUCUGAGAGUCCGAGGAGCCGCUGGGAUUUUUAGGUUGCUGACUUCUUCAUGACGCACGGCGCUGUGAGUGAUUUCCCGUGGCGUGGUUAGGAGGAUAAGUUGCUGUGAAGGAUUCACUCCAUCAGCUCCUUGUAUAUUGUGUAAUUGCACAGACAGAUACUGUGUGUCUGAUUCAGAACCUGUUAUGUCAUGAUAAGGG
rnacentral:lncRNA from 1 species